rnacentral:rRNA from 1 species
GUCCACGCCGUAAACGAUGGAUGCUAGCCGUUGGUGGGUUUACCCUUCAGUGGCGCAGCUAACGCAUUAAGCAUCCCGCCUGGGGAGUACGGUCGCAAGAUUAAAACUCAAAGGAAUUGACGGGGGCCCCGCACAAGCGGUGGAGCAUGUGUUUCAAUUCGAAGCAACGCGCAGAACCUUACCAGCCUUUGACAUCCCGGUCGCGAGCACCAGAGAUGGAGCUCUUCAGUUCGGCUGGACCGGAGACAGGUGCUGCAUGGCUGUCGU